GACGUAGGGCGCAAGCGUUAUCCGGAAUUAUUGGGCGUAAAGAGCUCGUAGGCGGUUUGUCGCGUCUGCCGUGAAAGUCCGGGGCUCAACUCCGGAUCUGCGGUGGGUACGGGCAGACUAGAGUGAUGUAGGGGAGACUGGAAUUCCUGGUGUAGCGGUGAAAUGCGCAGAUAUCAGGAGGAACACCGGUGGCGAAGGCGGGUCUCUGGGCCGAUACUGACGCUGAGGAGCGAAAGCGUGGGGAGCGAACAGG
rnacentral:rRNA from 1 species